rnacentral:rRNA from 1 species
AAACUUUAGCGGAACCCUUCGGGGCGAAGAUAAGUGGAUUAGCGGCGGACGGGUGAGUAACACGUGAGUAACCUGCCUUAGACAUUGGGAUAGCCUCGGGAAACCGGGAUUAAUACCAAAUAAAAUCUUAAUGACACAUGUCAUAACGAUCAAAACUCCGGUGGUCUAAGAUGGACUCGCGUCCCAUUAGCUAGUUGGUAGAGUAAAAGCCUACCAAGGCGACGAUGGGUAGCCGGCCUGAGAGGGUGAACGGCCACAUUGGAACUGAGAAACGGUCCAAACUCCUACGGGAGGCAGCAGUGGGGAAUAUUGCACAAUGGAGGGAACUCUGAUGCAGCGACGCCGCGUGAACGAAGAAGGCUUUCGAGUCGUAAAGUUCUUUUAUAUGGGAAGAUAAUGACGGUACCAUAAGAAAAAGCCCCGGCUAACUAC